UACGAAGGGGGCUAGCGUUGCUCGGAAUUACUGGGCGUAAAGGGCGCGUAGGCGGACAGUUUAGUCAGAGGUGAAAGCCCAGGGCUCAACCUUGGAAUUGCCUUUGGUACUGGCUGUCUUGAGUUCGGGAGAGGUGAGUGGAAUGCCGAGUGUAGAGGUGAAAUUCGUAGAUAUUCGGCGGAACACCAGUGGCGAAGGCGACUCACUGGCCCGAUACUGACGCUGAGGCGCGAAAGCGUGGGGAGCAAACAGG
rnacentral:rRNA from 1 species